UUAGAGUUUGAUCAUGGCUCAGGACGAACGCUGGCGGCGCGCUUAACACAUGCAAGUCGAGCGAGAACCCACCUUCGGGUGGGGGAAAGCGGCGAACGGGUGAGUAACACGUGGGCAACCCACCCUUGGUAUCGGGAUAGCCCGGGGAAACCCGGAUUAAUACCGGAUGGCCCAGCAGCUCUUCGGGGCGGCUGGAAAAGGUAGCUUCGGCCUCCGACCAAGGACGGGCCCGCGGCGGAUUAGCUUGUUGGUGGGGUAACGGCCUACCAAGGCGACGAUCCGUAGCUGGUCUGAGAGGACGAUCAGCCACACUGGGACUGAGACACGGCCCAGACUCCUACGGGAGGCAGCAGUGGGGAAUCUUGCGCAAUGGGCGAAAGCCUGACGCAGCGACGCCGCGUGGGGGAAGAAGGCUUUCGGGUUGUAAACCCCCGC
rnacentral:rRNA from 1 species